UAAGAUAUACACCAAUAAAAGUAUUUUGUUCCUAAGAACGUUUCCCCAUUGAAAUUAUUCGGAACUCAACUUUGAAUGUUCAAGAGCAUUUCGAUGUCUAACUGCAUUGGAUCUUCAGAGGGACAAUUAACUAGCUUCUGUUACUGACAUCGAAUAUCAGAGAGAGAAGAAAGAGAGCUACACAAAAGAGAGUACGAAGCCGGUACACCUUUUCAGCCGAAACAUUUUCUCUGAUGGAAGAAUUGAAUCCACGACUGUUAUUGUGAGAAAGCCUAAAAGCCUAUCCACUAGGCCACGUUCCCUAGCACAUACAUAUAUGUACAUGUGUAGAUGGCACGAAUGUUUAUAUGAAUGUAUAUAUUUUUUUUCAUUUUCUGAGAGUGAUGUUACUGAGAGUGAUUUCCUUGGUACAUUUAACAGCACGAAAACCAUGAAACUGUAGCAGAUCAGGGUUUGUUAUUGGGACACCGUCACGCCGAAACAUUACAAAGAUAUAUUUACAUUGUUUACAUUAUUUACAUUCGACGGAUAUUUGUCCCCAUCUUGUUUGUAGUUAACGGCUGAUAUACCCUCCAGCCUUCUUCGGGUGUCUUGGGGAAAUUUUGAACCUGGAUUCUCAUUUCUAAGAUAUUUUUCGAUGUUGUUGUUGUUGUUGUUGUUGUUGUUCAGGUCACUGCUUGGAAUCGAACUCGAAAUCUUGGGGUUAGAAAUUUCCCCAAGAGACCUGAUGAAGGCUGGAGGGUAUAUCAGCCGAAACGUUGUGUUAACAACAAACAAAAUAAGGACAA